AGCGGCGGACGGGUGAGUAACGCGUGGGUAACCUGCCUCAUACAGGGGGAUAACAGUUGGAAACGGCUGCUAAUACCGCAUAAGCGCACAGUACCGCAUGGUACGGUGUGAAAAACUCCGGUGGUAUGAGAUGGACCCGCGUCUGAUUAGGUAGUUGGUGGGGUAACGGCCUACCAAGGCAACGAUCAGUAGCCGGUCUGAGAGGAUGAACGGCCACAUUGGAACUGAGACACGGUCCAAACUCCUACGGGAGGCAGCAUG
rnacentral:rRNA from 1 species